GUGUAAUUUUGUUCAUAGAUAAUGACUAUAAUAAUGAUAACAAAAAUAAUAGAUGAGUGUAAGAAAAUAUAUGGAUGAUUUUUCAAUCAAUGAAUAUUUCAUUCAAUAUUUAAGACAACAGGGGCGAAUUUAAGCGGGGCGCGGUGGGUCUACGCCCCCCUUUAAUUUGCAAAACGUGGGUUGUCUUCUAUUUAUUUGAGUAUAAGAAGAGACCAUUCCAUCUUUUUUAACAUUCAAAGUCUAUAAAAUAGUCAGCUUAACAGAAUCAACGUGGUUACUAAUCAACUGACCUACGAUUUAUU
rnacentral:lncRNA from 1 species